UCCAAAUUUAGAAGCCAGAUUGAAACUGAAAUUCUUUUCCUGCCUGCCCUGGGCUCUUAAAGGCGCCAGGGCUGCAUUUCCUGAGACAGCAGAAGCCCUGCAAGUUGCACCAGCCAUCCUGAACCCCAGGUCUCCAGAGGCAACACCGCCCCCUUCCAGCCCGAAGCCCACGGAACUCUGCACAGGCCUCCAGAUCCCCUGUGUCCCAGUGGCAGGCCUUCAGCCUCCCUUGGUCAGGGUGAGCCAGGUCAGGUCACUCAUUACGAACUACGGGCGGCACGGGCGGCGAAACACUGUUGCGGAGUGGAAGGGGGCUGGGGUGGGCGUAGCCAGCACCCGCAGUGCCAGUUAGGUCUCAGCUUGGCCAGGUGGAUGAAAGGGAGCCCUCAGCCCUGCUGGCAUUCAGUGUUUACACCAUGCCCAAGCACCUAGACCCAAAGUGAAAACCAAGCCUUGCAGAUAGGGUGCAGAACAAGCAAAAACUCUAGGGUCUGCCUUUCCCCCAAUUAAGUUACUAAAAAACCUUCUCAAAAUUCAAUGUGCCCUUAGCGCCACCUAGUGGCCACUGCAGGAUUUCCUCCAGCAGAGGAACUGGGUCCCAAACUUUAAAAAGCUUUUGGGUUUUUAGACCAGCAUAACCAACCAAACAAAUAAAAAUACAAAAUUUUAACCUGGAUUCAAUUCCCAUCUUCCCCGAGGCCCAGCCCUGGCCUUCUUCCUUGUUAGUCACUGACAGGGACCCAGGGGCUUGGCCAGCCACCAGAGGGGGCCAGAACAGCCAAGCCUUUUAACCCCCACGUGAGCAAAGCAAUGGCUCAGCCUAGAAUGUGUACCCCUUCUCCCCACCCUGCUCCUCCCGCUCCUCCCAGGGUCUCCCAGGGCUCCCCAGAUCCUCGCAUUCCAUUCUGGAAAGAGCAGCACAUGACUGGCUCUUGAGGCAGUGAGCCAGGCUGCCCCAAGUCCUUCUGACCUUGGGCCUGCUACACUGCUGAAGGCAGCAAAUCCGAGACUGAAGCAGUGGCCGCCCAGCCGUCAGUCCCGGCUCCAUUUGCUGACUUGGAAAAACGUGUCAUUCCCCUCUGGCCUCUGGAGUUUGGCAGAGGUCUGAGCCGAAUGCUGACCAUGAGGAGCCUGGGGCAAUGGCUGCUUAACCAGGCUUCUCUGUUCAGGGGCCUCAGAACCGGGGCCAAGAGAGCAGCCCCGGUGGGGAGGGGACCACGGCCGAGGCAGGAGCAUCACUGGGCCCAGACGUGAAUGUGGGCAUUGGAAAGAGAAUGGUGGCAAGACCCUCUCCAGAUGGCAGAACAGGGUACCCUUUGAAAGUUUGGGGGAAGGGGGAGAGGUAUGCAGCAGGGAGGAUGAAAGGUCCUGAGAGAGAGGCCCUUGAGCAGUGAGUCCCCCAAUUCCGUGCAAAGUCACCUGGCAAGUGUAUUUAAUACAGGUUCCUGGCUCUUGUCCCCCAGGAUUCUUGAUUCAGAAAGCUGGCGUUGGGCACAGGAACGUGGAUU